GAUAACAGCAGUGACAGUGAACCAGGCCAUUAUUUCAUAUGGAUCAGUGAAACAUCUUAUGGAAUGGGAGAGAGGAAAUAAGACACCAUUCGAGUUUUCUGGAUCCUCUGAAAGCUACUCACUGAAGGCUUGAGAAACAGAAUUUUUUAAGUGUUUAUCUGUGUAUCCAUUCGUAGACAUCUGAUUCACUUCCAGCUUGAGCUGCUGGGGAUGCACUGCCCUGCAGUUUGACACAGUGUGUAAG